GAUGAACGCUGGCGGCGUGCCUAAUACAUGCAAGUCGAGCGAACGGACGAGAAGCUUGCUUCUCUGAUGUUAGCGGCGGACGGGUGAGUAACACGUGGAUAACCUACCUAUAAGACUGGGAUAACUUCGGGAAACCGGAGCUAAUACCGGAUAAUAUUUUGAACCGCAUGGUUCAAAAGUGAAAGACGGUCUUGCUGUCACUUAUAGAUGGAUCCGCGCUGCAUUAGCUAGUUGGUAAGGUAACGGCUUACCAAGGCAACGAUGCAUAGCCGACCUGAGAGGGUGAUCGGCCACACUGGAACUGAGACCCGGUCCAGACGCCUACGGGAGGCAGCAGUAGGGAAUCUUCCGCAAAGGGCGAAAGCCUGACGGAGCAACGCCGCGUGAGUGAUGAAGGUCUUCGGAUCGUAAAACUCUGUUAUUAGGGAAGAACAUAUGUGUAAGUAACUGUGCACAUCUUGACGGUACCUAAUCAGAAAGCCACGGCUAACUACGUG
rnacentral:rRNA from 1 species